rnacentral:lncRNA from 1 species
AAUUAUCUAUUUGGACCCUAUGUCUCACAUCCAGAUCAUGCUGAUGCAAGAGGUGGAUUCCCAUGACCUUGGGCAGCUCUGCCCGUUGCUUUGCAAGUGAGUCUCCCAUGAUGUAUUUGAGCUUCUUGUAUUUGGAUGUCUAAGUCCAGCAAGAGAAUCUUUGAGUCACGGCUUUCUCAGGUGGUAGUUAUGGUAGCAAUGUGCUGGGUGUGUGAGCAGUUUCAUUCUCCUGUGCCACUGGAAUAAAAGAAGUCUCAUGAUCCUCAUCUCAUUAUCAAGUGGUGUGCUAUUUUUUUUAAAAAAAAUCCCCCAUGUAUCAUUCAUAGGGUGAAACAGUUCAGCCUUCAAGAAAGUAGGAGGUGUCCAUAAG